CAACUAUACUCAAUUAGGUCAUCUGAUCAGCCGAGUAGGAGAUUUGUGGGGCAAUGCAUCCAUAGACAAAGUCAUAGGAAGAUGUCGACUAGCCUGAUGAAUAUUGAGCAAAAGAGAGAUGAUACUCUCCUUCUUCACUACCUCAAGCUCAAAGAAGGUCUCACAAGCUAUCGGCCCACAUUGUCCAUAUAGUCUCGAAGGGUGAUUAUUGUAUAAGUAGAGGAAGGGUGAACCAAUUAGACUUUAAAAACUUAAUUAUAAAGUAAGUGAAGAAAGUUGAACUUAGUCGAUAUGGCAACAUGAGUGGAAAAUGUGCCAAGCGUAAGGCCUACAUACCCCCUAACUUGGCUUGGUCAGGGAGGGGAAAACUAGCUUUAAUGAUGAUGUUCACCACGAAGGCAAUUAACAAGCCAAGCAUCUUGACCAGAUAUUCAUCCACUGAGUUUUCGUGCUCUCGUUAGCUUGAGCUUAGGGCCUUAAGCUCAGCUCCUAAUUACACACCUG
rnacentral:lncRNA from 1 species